ensembl:ncRNA Y53F4B.53 ncRNA
CUAAGCCUAAGCCUAAGCCCAAGCCUAAGCCUAAGCCCAAGCCUAAGCCUAAGCCCAAGCCUAAGCCUAAGCCUAAA